rnacentral:rRNA from 1 species
GACGAACGCUGGCGGCGUGCUUAACACAUGCAAGUCGAACGGUAAGGCCCUUCGGGGUACACGAGUGGCGAACGGGUGAGUAACACGUGGGUGAUCUGCCCUGCACUUCGGGAUAAGCCUGGGAAACUGGGUCUAAUACCGGAUAGGACUCCGGACUGCAUGGUCUGGGGUGGAAAGCUUUUGCGGUGUGGGAUGGGCCCGCGGCCCAUCAGCUUGUUGGUGGGGUGAUGGCCUACCAAGGCGACGACGGGUAGCCGGCCUGGGAGGGUGACCGGCCACACUGGGACUGAGAUACGGCCCAGACUCCUACGGGAGGCAGCAGUGGGGAAUAUUGCACAAUGGGCGCAAGCCUGAUGCAGCGACGCCGCGUGAGGGAUGACGGCCUUCGGGUUGUAAACCUCUUUCAGCAUCGACGAAGCGAAAGUGACGGUAGGUGCAGAAGAAGGACCGGCCAACUACGUGCCAGCCGCCGCAGUAA